UACGGGGGGGGCAAGCGUUGUUCGGAAUUACUGGGCGUAAAGGGCGCGUAGGCGGUGCUCUAAGUCGGAUGUGAAAACUCUGGGCUCAACCCAGAGCCUGCAUCCGAAACUGGAGUGCUAGAGUUCUGGAGGGGGUAGCGGAAUUCCUGGUGUAGCGGUGAAAUGCGUAGAUAUCAGGAGGAACACCGGUGGCGAAGGCGGCUCACUGGUCCGGUACUGACGCUGAGGUGCGAAAGCGUGGGGAGCAAACAGG
rnacentral:rRNA from 1 species